GAUGGAUUCAUACAAAUGAGGUGAGCUGAUUCACAAUGCUCCUAAAGAGUGACUGAUUCACUGUAGAGAGACUGAGGUACACCACAACACUCCUAAAGAGUGACUGAUUCACUGUAGAGAGACUGAGGUACACCACAACACUCCUAAAGAGUGACUGAUUCACUGUAGAGAGACUGAGGUACACCACAACACUCCUAAAGAGUGACUGAUUCACUGUAGAGAGACUGAGGUACACCACAACACUCCUCAAGAGUGACUGAAUCACUGUAGAGAGACUGAGGUACGCCACAACACUCCUAAAGAGAGACUGAUUCACUGUAGAGAGACUGACAACAAGGACCCAGCUGACACUACAAGGGAAAAGGACAACAAGGAACCCAGCUGACACUACAAGGGUCAAGGACAACAAGGAACCCAGCUGACACUACAAGGGUCAAGGACAACAAGGAACCCAGCUGACACUACAAGGGACAAGGACAACAAUGAACCCAGCGAUUAACAGAAAGCCUUUCCUAAAGAUAAAGGUCUUCAGGCCCGUUUUAAAGGAGCCCUAGAGUCUGUGGUGCCUUCAGGUGGUCCGGGGGGUCAUUCCAGAGACUGGGGGCGGCCGAGCUGAAAGCCUGAUCCCCGAGGAGCGUAGCUUGGUCCUGGGGGCAUGGAGGAGCAGGCUAUGUCUUGAGUGGAGGGUGCGGGUGGGGUUAUGGAAGGAGAGCAGUUCUUUGAGAUAAGCAGGGGCAUUGCCAUGACUACACUGGAAGGUCACCAGGAGGGUUAUGAGACUGGGAGCCAGUGCAGAGAUGCCGGGAUGGGGUUGAAGUCAUGGUGUUUCCUGACUCUCAUCAGGAUCCUGGCAGUACUGUUCUGGAUGUACUGGAGCUUCUGGAGACUCCUACCCGGGAUCCAGGUGAAGACUGUGUUGUAGUCCUGGAGACUCCUGCCAGGGAUCCAGGUGAAGACUGUGUUGUAGUCCUGGAGACUCCUGCCAGGGAUCCAGGUGAAGACUGUGUUGUAGUCGUCCAGCCUUGAGGAGAUAAAGAAAUGGACCAGUUUCUCUGCCUCAGACUGAGUGAGACGGAGUUUGGCAAUGUUCACGAGGUGAUAGAAUUGUUUUAUUUUAUUUAACUUGGCAAGUCAGUUAAGAACAAAUUCUUAUUUUCAAUGACGGCCUAGGAACAGUGGGUUAACUGCCUUGUUCAGGGACAGAACGACAGAUUUGUACCUUGUCUGCUCAGGGAUUUCGAACUUGCAACCUUUCGGUUACUAGUCCACCGCUCUAACCACUAGGCUACGCUGCCACCCCAGAAUGACAAACAGUUGUUUGAUGUGGCUGUCAAAGGUCAGGGAGGAAUCGAUCUUUACAGCUAGACUGGAAACUGAGGGGGAGAGAGGGAUGUUCUGUCCUGCAACUGUCAGGUGUGUUAUCGGUGAGCUGUGUUAUCGGUGAGGUGCGUUAUUGGUGAGGUAUGUUAUCGGUGAGGUGCGUUAUUGGUGAGGUGUGUUAUCGGUGAGGUGCGUUAUUGGUGAGGUGUGUUAUCGGUGAGUGCUGGACCUGGUGUGUGAUUGGUGAGGUGUGUUAUUGGUGAGGUGUGUUAUUGGUGAGGUGUGUUAUUGGUGAGGUGUGUUAUUGGUGAGUGCUGGACCUGGUGUGUUAUUGGAGAGGUGUGUUAUUGGGGAGUGCUGAACCUGGUGUGUUAUUGGUGAGGUGUGUUAUUGGGGAGUGCUGGACCUGGUGUGUUAUUGGUGAGGUGUGUUAUUGGGGAGUGCUGAACCUGGUGUGUUAUUGGUGAGGUGUGUUAUUGGUGAGGUGUGUUAUUGGGGAGUGC
ensembl:lncRNA